CCCACCUCGCAAGGGGUGACUUUAGUGCCGGGUACAGAGAUGUGAUGUGACAUAACACUUCGUCCAUCCUCGCAUUGCGUUUAUUUUUACGCGUAACUGGCACUAGUCACACCUUUGGCAUAUUAUCGGUGGACGUGUGAAAAAAAAGCAAGGAGUGAUGACUUCUCCAAAAUUUUCCAGUUGUUAAGUAAUAUGAGAUAAGGUCAAUUUUUUCGAAGGUGAAAAAUCAAAUUCACUUUCCGGAUUGGUGACGGGAGCUGGGCUGUCGCGAUUUGCAUCUAAUAUGGUUCCGUUCUGCAUUUUGGUCUACCCGCGCCCCGUCCUUUGCUGCGUUACCCCGUGGCCUGGGCACAAUGCGCCUGCCUGAACGAGUUUUGCAGACCUCCAAGGGAACAUGUCGGCAUAAGGGAUUGCAUUUUAUAGUGUUGAAGAUGCGCGAGCGUGUCUCCGGGGUGUAGCACUUGAAUGGCAUUCCACUCGGGUCUUCCCCCCAUCCCAAGGUACCCAGCAGGGCCAGCCAGCGCCCCCCAAGGGGCUCCCCUGGGCCCGCCAGGGUCCCGUCGGACAAGCCGCCAGUCCGGACGGCGCCAAGCCUGAGGACGACAAGCAGCGGAGGCUGUUCGCCCCGCGCCCGCUCCUGCAGGCCCAGCAGCAGCCUUCGGGGCAGCAGCCGCAGCAGCCCCAGCAGCCGCAGCCCAAGCAAGGGGGUCGCAUCGUCCGCCGACUGUCUGACAACGUGCAGCAGCAGCAGCAGCGACAGGCCGCACCACCCAGCCCCGCGCGCAGGAGCUCGGCCGUCCCCGCGACCACCAGAAGGGAGACGGUCAUGAUGUCGCUCCCGUAGCUGGCUCAGCUGCCGAUUGAAGGAAAGGCACACACUUACUUGAUUUCGUAUCCGCGGCGUCUUACUGGAUGUCACUGUUAUGCCCAUGCAAUUUACGUGACAAAUGACACUUAGCGGACAAUUUGUCCUUCCUGAUGAGGUUUCCACCAGUGACUAAGUAAUGAGGGGCGUUUGAGCUAAUGAAUUUAGAUGUAAGUACAUUUGCCUCGUUAACUAUGGUCCCUUACACUCGCUCUGACAGUGGUGGUAGGUUGGCGAAUCGCUACUAGCCACAUUGACUGAUAAGAUAAUUGCACUGUGUCGAUGUAACCUUUUUUAAAACUAAUUGUGUACACACUGCUCAUGUAAAUAAAUGAAAUACGACGUGGGAGUUUUUUUUGCGUAUAGAUCAGUUUUGUCCAGUUGACGAAACCAUCGUGUAUAUUCGCCUGUGAUUUGUGAGAAAAUAAAAUUAUUUAACUUGUGA